CACACACAUUCAGACGUCCUCUGCAGCAAGAAACCAGAGGUUCUUCUCCUUUUUUUUUUUGAAACCAGAGGUUCUUGAGUCACAAAGUCAGAGCAUGAACAAAUCUUGCAUUACUCAGCCCCCACAAGGCAGCUGUGUCCGCUUUAAAAUCCCUGAGAGCAUCAUCAGAGCCCUGGCCACUGUCACCGCUGCCAGCCUGAGCUAGGCUCCCUCAUUUCCCA